rnacentral:rRNA from 1 species
CCAGGGAGAAUUAAUAAAAGGCCUAAGUAGUAAUAGUUAUGUCCUAAAAAUUUGAAGAAUUUGGCGGUGAUUUAGUCUAGUCAGAGGAACCUGUUUUUGAAUCGAUAAACCACGAAUAAUCUUGCUCAAUUUUGUAAAGUAUGUAUACCAUCAUUAUUAGGUAAUUUUUAUAGAAUAAAUUACUGAAUUUGCUAAUAAUGUUAAAUAUAUUAGAUCAAGGUGCAGCUUAUAGUUGAGUUAAAAUGGGUUACAAUAAGUUUUAUUUAUCACGGAGAUAUAGUUUAAACACUAGUUAUGAAGGAGGAUUUGAUUGUAAGAUAAGUUUAACACGCUUGUUAGAUAUAAGCUCUAAAUCAUGUACACACCGCCCGUCACCCUCAACA